ensembl:lncRNA
AGUUGCUCGUCCAAUCACACGCGUCGUCUCGCAAGAACCGCGCGAUACACGAACAGACAAAGAAGUCGUCUUUGUUACAUGAGUUUCUACAAUGGCGGCCCGGUAUUACCAGUCCGACUCACCACAAACUCCUCGCAUAGAACAGCCUGGACAUGACCGACUGGUUCCAGUCAGACCCGCGACAGACACUGAGAAGAAACUGUUGAGUGUUAUCAGCGGGCUGUCUGGCCAGAGAGCACCGCCAGAGGAGAAGCUCUAGCAGAAGUUGGAGCGGUGUCAGAGCUGCAGGAGGGGAUGGCCGCCAUGGAAGCCAAAUUAAACACUUUCUCCAGCGGCGAGGAAAUUCAGCGGAAAAGAGGAGAGCACAGUCCUAAAAUUGCGCUGCUUGUAAAAAGCAUUUUGAAACUCUAUGGAGGAACUACCGCUACAGUCAACCCAACAUGGCGGAUCAGGCGGAGGCCAUGAAGUCUUCUGCCCAGAGUCACCAGAGAAGAAAGAGACUGCUGGAUACCAGGAAAAUGGUCCUUGCUCCAGAUGAAGAGGACUUAUGGAAGGGCAUCACAACUGACAUGAUGUCAGAUGAGGAGGACGGCAGUGUUGACGGGGUGCGUGGAUGGAUAGUACGGCCUCCAUCCUUCCACAGCCAGGAGCUUGCCAACCUGCUGCACUACAGGCUGGAGGCUGAUGUGAGGAACACAGCUGCACAUCACAGGUUUCCCAGAGACUAUGGGUUGAGGAGGAAUUGGAAGUUUGUCGGCUUAGACCUGGUGUCAUUCCAUCAGUGUUUAACUUCCCGGCUCAUCUUGGAAGAGUAUGUGCCAGAAAGAUCACGACCAAACAACCUUGAGAUCUUAGACAGCGUCUCCCUCAGCUCAGCUUCCCCUCAGAAGAAGUGCAACCACCUGCCAGAUGGAGCCUUUUGAGAGGCAGCUGGCAUCGUGAUUGGACUGUACUUUGGUCUGUUCCAAUCCAGCUUCAGCUCCAGAGACGGCAGGCGGGACGAGUCAACGGAGGCCGGGUGGACGAAGGCAUGCAGCUGAGUACAAUCCAGAAAACAACAGAGGAGGAGUGCAGCGGCCCAGGGCCAGAACAGAGUAUGUCUCUUAGAAAACAUCAUAGUAGAGCCUUUGGGAUGAAAAAACGGCAUAAUAUACAUCAUAUAUUGUACAAAUAACAAGUCAAAGGAAAGAGACAUCAACUGUAGAAUUGUAGUAAUUGUGGGCUGACGAAUUUACUGAUUAUCAGUAUUUUAUUUUUUACUGAUUUAUGGUAAUAAAUACAUUUAAAAAUGGUGCUACUUUGGCUGUGAACAUUUAUGUACCUGUGGUCGCUCUGUCUUCUGGAGUGAUUUGAUUGGUUAUAUGUCACGAAUAAAACUCCUUUAACAUCUGUA